AGCGAACGCUGGCGGCAUGCCUAACACAUGCAAGUCGAACGAGACCUUCGGGUCUAGUGGCGCACGGGUGCGUAACGCGUGGGAACCUGCCCUUAGGUUCGGAAUAACUCCCCGAAAGGGGUGCUAAUACCGGAUAAUGUCUUCGGACCAAAGAUUUAUCGCCUUUGGAUGGGCCCGCGUUGGAUUAGCUAGUUGGUAGGGUAAAAGCCUACCAAGGCGACGAUCCAUAGCUGGUCUGAGAGGAUGAUCAGCCACACUGGGACUGAGACACGGCCCAGACUCCUACGGGAAGCAGCAGUGGGGAAUAUUGGACAAUGGGCGAAAGCCUGAACCAGCAAUGCCGCGUGAGUGAUGAAGGCAGUAGGGUUGUAAAGCUCUUUUACCCGGGAGGAUAAUGACAGUACCGGGAGAAUAAGCUCCGGCUAACUCCGUG
rnacentral:rRNA from 1 species